rnacentral:tRNA from 1 species
GGGGGUGUAGCUCAUAUGGUAGAGCGCUCCUUUGCAUGCGAGAGGCACGGGGUUCGAUUCCCCGCACCUCCA